AAAUUGAAGAGUUUGAUCAUGGCUCAGAUUGAACGCUGGCGGCAGGCCUAACACAUGCAAGUCGAACGGUAACAGGAAGCAGCUUGCUGCUUYGCUGACGAGUGGCGGACGGGUGAGUAAUGUCUGGGAAACUGCCUGAUGGAGGGGGAUAACUACUGGAAACGGUGGCUAAUACCGCAUAACGUCGCAAGACCAAAGAGGGGGACCUUCGGGCCUCUUGCCAUCAGAUGUGCCCAGAUGGGAUUAGCUUGUUGGUGAGGUAACGGCUCACCAAGGCGACGAUCCCUAGCUGGUCUGAGAGGAUGACCAGCCACACUGGAACUGAGACACGGUCCAGACUCCUACGGGAGGCAGCAGUGGGGAAUAUUGCACAAUGGGCGCAAGCCUGAUGCAGCCAUGCCGCGUGUAUGAAGAAGGCCUUCGGGUUGUAAAGUACUUUCAGCGGGGAGGAAGGUGUUGUGGUUAAUAACCRCAGCAAUUGACGUUACCCGCAGAAGAAGCACCGGCUAACUCCGUGCCAGCAGCCGCGGUAAUACGGAGGGUGCAAGCGUUAAUCGGAAUUACUGGGCGUAAAGCGCACGCAGGCGGUCUGUCAAGUCGGAUGUGAAAUCCCCGGGCUCAACCUGGGAACUGCAUUCGAAACUGGCAGGCUUGAGUCUUGUAGAGGGGGGUAGAAUUCCAGGUGUAGCGGUGAAAUGCGUAGAGAUCUGGAGGAAUACCGGUGGCGAAGGCGGCCCCCUGGACAAAGACUGACGCUCAGGUGCGAAAGCGUGGGGAGCAAACAGGAUUAGAUACCCUGGUAGUCCACGCCGUAAACGAUGUCUACUUGGAGGUUGUGCCCUUGAGGCGUGGCUUCCGGAGCUAACGCGUUAAGUAGACCGCCUGGGGAGUACGGCCGCAAGGUUAAAACUCAAAUGAAUUGACGGGGGCCCGCACAAGCGGUGGAGCAUGUGGUUUAAUUCGAUGCAACGCGAAGAACCUUACCUGGUCUUGACAUCCACRGAASWWUYCAGAGAUGRRWWWGUGCCUUCGGGAACYGUGAGACAGGUGCUGCAUGGCUGUCGUCAGCUCGUGUUGUGAAAUGUUGGGUUAAGUCCCGCAACGAGCGCAACCCUUAUCCUUUGUUGCCAGCGCGUCGUAGUCCGGAUUGGAGUCUGCAACUCGACUCCAUGAAGUCGGAAUCGCUAGUAAUCGUGGAUCAGAAUGCCACGGUGAAUACGUUCCCGGGCCUUGUACACACCGCCCGUCACACCAUGGGAGUGGGUUGCAAAAGAAGUAGGUAGCUUAACCUUCGGGAGGGCGCUUACCACUUUGUGAUUCAUGACUGGGGUGAAGUCGUAACAAGGUAACCGUAGGGGAACCUGCGGUUGGAUCACCUCCUUA
rnacentral:rRNA from 1 species